AUUUCAGAUAUUCACCUACAUUUCUUUGCAACAUGCCCUAUCAGAUAUCCCGUCAUGGCUGUGCAGUCCUGGAUGAGUGGAUGAUGGAUCAUGUUUACGCUCAGGACGACAUCUGUAUUUCAGCUCAUGUGGAGAAAUGUUGUUGCUCUAAUGAAGUGUGGGGGUUCUCCAGAAAAGGGAUUUAAUCUUAUCCAGGAAAAAAGGCAGUGAAGAUAGCAGCACAGUCGCAGAGCACAUACUCCAUUGACUGCAUUGAUUUUCUGCUCAGGAUUUGGGUCUUUGAGGUCAAAAUUUUGGAUCUUUCUGUUUGGCCAGACGCUUGCCUAGCGCUCUAAUGGACUGAUUACAUGGAACACACUGGUCUGUGGUCACGCCGUCCUUAUUUUCUAUCAGUUAGGAUAUUGCUAUAUUGCUGGUCUUUGAAGAAAGACCAGCGGUUGCAUGAUUUUGCUCAUUUCCUUUGCUGUAGCUUGUUGUUUCCCAGCUGUUUCAGAGCCAUUUUAAUUCCUUUUUAUAAACUGCUUCACUGAUAAGAUAAGAAGGAAGACAUCACUACGUGGAUACCUGACUUGAUCUUUGAAUCUCAUGUUAAGCAGCACACAUACCAAACACAAGUACAUUUUAAAGACAUUUUUGAAAAACUGUUGUGUUUUGUUGUUGCUUCUGUGCAGAUCCUGUGUGGUUCCACUUGAUGCUGAGGUCUACAGGCCUGAAAGGUGUUACUGUGAAGCAAGAUUAGCAAGGAUCUUUGUUCGCCAUGGAGUAGGUGAAAGGAUGAUUCCACAGUGUGUGGCAUCGACUGUCAAACAUGGAGGAGGAAGUUUGACGGUCUGGGGUUGUUUGCUGAUCCAGGGUCGGUGACUCGUACACAGUGAGACGCUCCCUGAACCAAAACAGCUACCACAGCUUUCUGCAGCUCCAUGCAGCACCCUCUGGUAUGCACCUAGUUGGUCAGGGGUUCAUCCUACA